GGUUUCCCGAUGAUGAACCGCGGCGCUCCCCUGGUGCUGAACCUGCGGCCGGGUCAGACGGUGCAGCCACUCACGCUGAUCCAGUCGCCGUCGUUGGGUCAGCUGGUCCGGCCCAGCGUGGGCGUGUCCCCGAUCCUGACCCAGAGCCGACCGGGCGCCGCCCAGACGGGAGCCUUCACCGCCAUGCUGAGCAUCCGCACCGGCACGCCACAACCUGUUAACUUCCAGAUGACCCAGGUGGGCGGAGCCAGCCCUCUGAAGCUGGCAGGAAGCCCCGCCCUCCCCUCAGGAUCGGCUAAUGGAGUCGCCAGAAUCAGUGAGUUAGUUUGUUCUUCUGUUUGAGCGCUGGGAACUAAUGGUGCGUUCACAGCAGGGUGUUUUUGACGCUUAUUCCAACGUUUCUGUCAGUGUUUUCUCUGUUUGUUAUGCUUUUUCUGGCGUUUUUGCCACUUUAUUUGGCUCAAUUCAAACCGGCUCUAAAUGUUUUUUCUGUUCCACUUCGAUGUUCCAAAGCGCUGGGAGCUAAUGCUGCGUUUUCACCCACAUCCGGUGGCGUGAUUACAACAGACGUGAGUUCACAGCGGUGCAAAUGAGGCGAAGACGGGGAAAUAUCGCUGUUCGCGUCGCCGUAAAUUUGCGAUAAAGGGGGCUGUCUUUGGGCGAAGUAAAGGCGCUGACACACCAACCCGAUUAUCGGCCGUCUGGCGAGGUCGGUGACUCGAGUCUGUUUGGUGUGUUCUGUGCCGUCGUCCGUCGGAGGAGCCGUCGGCCUUCAUUUGGGCCGAUUUCACUUGUUGAAUCGGCCAGCGGGCAGUCGGACUCAAGGACCAAUCUGAUUGGUGGAGUUCUAUCCCUUGACUAGCGAAUCAGAGCAUGAAAAACCGGGAAGUGACGUGUAAACAUACCAGAUAAACAGUGAUGGUGCAGACCCGCUCACUCACUAUCAUCGCAUCAUUUGGAUUAUUGAAUUGGAUUUCUGUUGGAUUUUGGAUCAUCGUGACUCUGUGGACCGAAGCACUCGAAGACGAGUUGAUCAGCAUGAUCGAGGAGAGGCCGCCGCUGUACAACGCAUCUGAAAAGAACUAUUCCAACCAAGUAGUGAAGAGAGACUGCUGGCGUCAGAUCACGGAGAAAAUACAUAUAUCAGAGAAAGAGACUAAGAAGAAGUGGGAGUCCCUGCGAACACAGUUUCUCCGCUAUCGCAAGCUCCCUCCUUCAGGAAGCUGUGGGACCGACCAGACUCCCAGACAGCAGUGGAUACUCAGGAGGUUACACUUCCUGGAGCCACACACCGGAAGGAAAGGAAGUCACUCUGACCCCACUCACACGGACCCCCCGGCUCCUGCUGACACCAGCUCAGGCUCCACUGUUGAUGCCUUGGACAACAACCAGGAUGAGACGGCUUUGGAGCCGCCAAUAGCAGAAUCUCUUUGUUUGGACCCAGGCUCUGAGUCAACCAGCUCCAGCACGUCAGCUGGAAGGACGCGAAGGCCUCCUGCAACGCCCAGCAGGAGAUCUCCCAAUGAUCCGCUGGCAGACGCAUCGAUGGGGCUGAUGCACACGAUAGAGACGGCGCUGUACAGACUGUCUGCAGAGGGCAGACCUGACUCCGUUGCACUGGUCUGCCAGAGCAUCCAACACAAGUUCAGGAUGGUGCCACCACAUCUCCUGCCUCGAUUGGAGAACAGAGUUCAAAACCUCAUUUUUCAUUUUUUCGAGGAGCACAACCUGCACACACACACAAAUGACUCUUAAAGGUCCAGUGUGUAAUGGGUUGAGUUGUUCAUGAAUAUUUACCUCCACCAUCAACUCCAAGUGUUCCUAUUGGCUUAAAAUUUAACAUUAGCGUUUGCAUGAACUGGGGUAGACGCUCCAUAUUCAUGCUCCAUCUAGAAAUACGUUAGCUGGUAAGAGACAUACAGGACACACUGCUCCACCUGUUAGUGUGUGUGUGUGUGUGUGUGUGUGUGUAAGAGACAUACAGGACACACUGCUCCACCUGUUAGUGUGUGUGUGUGUGUGUGUGUGUGUGUGUGUAAGGGACAUACAGGACAUACUGCUCCACCUGUGUGUGUGUGUGUGUGUGUGUGUGUGUGUGUGUGUGUGUGUGUGUGUGUGUGUAAGAGACAUACAGGACACACUGCUCCACCUGUUAGUGUGUGUGUGUGUGUGUGUGUGUGUGUGUGUGUGUGUGUAAGGGACAUACAGGACAUACUGCUCCACCUGUGUGUGUGUGUGUGUGUGUGUGUGUGUGUGUGUGUGUGUGUGUGUGUGUGUGUGUGUGUGUGUGUGUGUGUGUGUGUGUGUGUGUAAGGGACAUACAGGAUAUACUGCUCCACCUUUCAUGUUUUCUCUGUCACAUGAUAAACUAACAGCUGCUGCUAAUGCUGCAAAUAGGUAUUGUAGCUUCCUGAAGAAGGAAACAUGGAGGACCACACGUAUUCAAAAUCCAAAUUUCAGGAUCAGGAGUCUUCUUGUUCUUCACCCAGAAAAAGAAAACAGAGAUUGAAAAGAGCAAGAGACUCUUUUUGAAGCGUGAAGGCUACCGUAGCUGUAAUACCUACUCUGCGUGGUGCGAGAGUUGAUGAUAUAUGAUCUCAACACUAGACGAGAGAAAUUCCUACACACUGGACCUUUAAUGUUUGUAUUUGUGCUUUUCCCCCAUUAUAUUUCAUACAUUUUAUUUCUGAUAAUAAAAGCCUAUCUUUGGAAAAGAGAAUGUCCCUGUAUUUUUUCCACUGACCUUAUGAUG
ensembl:lncRNA